AGAGAAGAAGAUGCUGGGAUAAGGAUGAACUCGGAACAAGAUGAGAGCUAGGAGUUUGGAUUCGGCUGGGAUUGGUUCCGAAACAGGGGAAGAGCAUGUGAAGCUCGGGUUGCUGGGAACAAACGCUGGGAGAUGAUCGCGGAUCAAGCCGGAAGAGAAGGACGAUGAAGUUAAUCCAAAUGCUGGGAAGGAUUUGGAAGAGGAGGAAGGUUGGAUUCGGAAUGAGCAUGGGAUACGGGAGCUAGAAGAUAAGGAUGAUAGUUUUGAAGUAGGGGAGGAUGCAUUUGGACGUUGGGAGAAUGAUCCUGAGUUCGGUAGGUGAUGAAGACGAGCUCCUAAGAUUUGUUUCGCU
rnacentral:lncRNA from 1 species